AUGGCCUCCAUCUCCGAGCUCGCCUGCAUCUACUCAGCCCUCAUUCUGCACGACAAUGAGGUGACUGUCACAGAGUAUAAGAUCAAGGCCCUCAUUAAAGCAGCUGGUGUAAAUGUUGAACCUUUUCGGCCUGGCUUGUUUGCAAAGGCCCCGGCCAAUGUCAACAUUAGGAGCCUCAUCUGCAAUGUAGGGGCUGGAGGACCUGCUCCAGCAGCUGGUGCUGCACCAGCAGGAGGUGAUCCACCCGCAUCAACCUCCCUAAGUGCUGGGAUAAUAGGCAUGAGCCACCGUGGUCAGCCAAGAAUGCGCAUACUCUCUCCAUUCUUCCUCCAUGCGUACGCCCAUUUCUGCCUUGGUUGCCCACCUCCACUGCUGCUGCUCCAGCUGAGGAGAAGAAAAUGGAAGCAAAGAAAGAAGAAUUUGAGGACUCUGAUGAUGACAUGGGCUUUGGUCUUUCUGACUA
rnacentral:lncRNA from 1 species